GAAGGGGCGCAAGCCCCCCAUCCUCCAACCCUUUGUGAACAUACCUAUUCUCGUUGCCUCGGCGGUGCCGGGCCUGGCCCCCCCCGUAUCUCACGAUAGGGGGAGCAGCCCGCCGGCGGCCUUCUAAACUCUUGUUUCUAAGUGUAUCUUCUGAGUAUAAGCUUCUAAAUAAGUAAAAACUUUCAGCAACGGAUCUCUUGGUUCUGGCAUCGAUGAAGAACGCAGCGAAAUGCGAUAAGUAAUGUGAAUUGCAGAAUUCAGUGAAUCAUCGAAUCUUUGAACGCACAUUGCGCCCGGUAGUAUUCUACCGGGCAUGCCUGUUCGAGCGUCAUUUCAACCCUCAAGCACUGCUUGGUGUUGGGGCGCCACCUCACGGUGGGCCCCCAAAUUCAUAGGCGAGCUCGCCAGGACCCCGAGCGUAGUAGUAUUCUCCUCGCUUUGGGCGUGCUGGCGGCGCGCAGCCUCUAAGCCUUCUGGCUGCCCUCACCGGCGCCGGAGAACUCACACAAGGUUGACCUCGGAUCAGGUAGGAAUACGCGCUGAACUUAAGCAUAUCAAUAAGCGCAGGAAAAGAAACCAACAGGGAUUGCCCUAGUAACGGCGAGUGAAGCGGCAACAGCUCAAAUUUGAAAUCUGGCCUAGGCCCGAGUUGUAAUUUGCAGAGGAUGCUUUUGGCGCGGUGCCUUCCGAGUUCCCUGGAACGGGACGCCACAGAGGGUGAGAGCCCCGUAUGGUAGGACGCCUAGCCUGUGUAAAGCUCCUUCGACGAGUCGAGUAGUUUGGGAAUGCUGCUCUAAAUGGGAGGUAAAUCUCUUCUAAAGCUAAAUACUGGCCAGAGACCGAUAGCGCACAAGUAGAGUGAUCGAAAGAUGAAAAGCACCUUGAAAAGGGGGUUAAAAAGUACGUGAAAUUGCUGAAAGGGAAGCGCUCGUGACCAGACUUGCGCCUGGCGGCUCAACCGGGGUUCUCCCCGGGGCACUCCGCCAGGCUCAGGCCAGCAUCAGUUCUCGCUGGGGGAUAAGAGCUCGGGGAACGUAGCUCCCUUCGGGGAGUGUUAUAGCCUCUUGCACGAUACCCUGGCCUGGACUGAGGACCGCGC
rnacentral:rRNA from 1 species